rnacentral:other from 2 species
GGGCUUCUGCUCUGUACGUGAACGGGAUAAUUCCAGUGGCCUUAAGCAACUCCGAGGGAGCUGGCUCUGUCCGGGCCCUGGUCCGGUUAUCUGGCGCCCACCUGUAUAUACAGGUCCUCGGGAAUUCUUACCCCCACGGCUGCAGCGGUUCCCGC